GAUGAAGAACGCAGCGAAAUGCGAUACGUAGUGUGAAUUGCAGAAUUCAGUGAAUCAUCGAAUCUUUGAACGCACAUUGCGCCCUAUGGUAUUCCGUAGGGCAUGCCUGUUCGAGCGUCAUUUACACCACUCAAGCCCCGCUUGGUGUUGGGCGCCUGUCCCCGCCCCCCCCCGCGCGGACUCGCCUCGAAACCAUUGGCGGCCAGCACGUUUGGCUCCGAGCGCAGCAGACUUGCGCGCGCGAACCGCCCGUGCUGGCGUCCAGAAGCCUCCACACCAGGUUUGACCUCGGAUCAGGUAGGGAUACCCGCUGAACUUAAGCAUAUCAAUAAGCGGAGGA
rnacentral:misc_RNA from 1 species